GGGGGUGUAGCUCAGGGGUAGAGCGCUCGCUUCGCAUGCGAGAUGCCCGGGGUUCAAAUCCCCGUUCCUCCA
rnacentral:tRNA from 1 species